rnacentral:rRNA from 1 species
UCCUCUGACGUUAGCGGCGGACGGGUGAGUAACACGUGGAUAACCUACCUAUAAGACUGGGAUAACUUCGGGAAACCGGAGCUAAUACCGGAUAAUAUAUUGAACCGCAUGGUUCAAUAGUGAAAGACGGUUUUGCUGUCACUUAUAGAUGGAUCCGCGCCGCAUUAGCUAGUUGGUAAGGUAACGGCUUACCAAGGCAACGAUGCGUAGCCGACCUGAGAGGGUGAUCGGCCACACUGGAACUGAGACACGGUCCAGACUCCUACGGGAGGCAGCAGUAGGGAAUCUUCCGCAAUGGGCGAAAGCCUGACGGAGCAACGCCGCGUGAGUGAUGAAGGUCUUCGGAUCGUAAAACUCUGUUAUUAGGGAAGAACAAAUGUGUAAGUAACUAUGCACGUCUUGACGGUACCUAAUCAGAAAGCCACGGCUAACUACGUGCCAGCAGCCGCGGUAAUACGUAGGUGGCAAGCAUUAUCCGGAAUUAUUGGGCGUAAAGCGCGCGUAGGCGGUUUUUUAAGUCUGAUGUGAAUGCCCACGGCUCAACCGUGGAGGGUCAUUGGAAACUGGAAAACUUGAGUGCAGAAGAGGAAAGUGGAAUUCCAUGUGUAGCGGUGAAAUGCGCAGAGAUAUGGAGGAACACCAGUGGCGAAGGCGACUUUCUGGUCUGUAACUGACGCUGAUGUGCGAAAGCGUGGGGAUCAAACAGGAUUAGAUACCCUGGUAGUCCACGCCGUAAACGAUGAGUGCUAAGUGUUAGGGGGUU